GAUGAACGCUGGCGGCGUGCCUAACACAUGCAAGUCGAACGCUCGCAAGAGAGUGGCGCACGGGUGAGUAACACGUAGCUAAUCUGCCCUCAAGACAAGGAUAACUGUAGGAAACUACUGCUAAUACUUGAUAAGCUUACGGACUGUAGAGGUCUAUAAGAAAAGAUUUAUCGCUUGAGGAUGAGGCUGCGCGCCAUCAGCUAGUUGGUGAGGUAAUGGCUCACCAAGGCGACGACGGCUAGGGGACCUGAGAGGGUGACCCCCCCACACUGGGACUGAGACACGGCCCAGACUCCUACGGGAGGCAGCAGUGAGGAAUAUUGCACAAUGGGCGCAAGCCUGAUGCAGCGACGCCGCGUGGAUGAAGAAGGUUUUCGGACUGUAAAAUCCUUUUUCUGUGUGACGAGAGUGGACGGUAGCACAGGAAUAAGUCCUCGGCUAACUACGUGCCAGCAGCCGCGGU
rnacentral:rRNA from 1 species